ensembl:lncRNA
UGCCUUUGUAUGUAAAUAACAACUGAGAGAGUUGAAAUGUUUAUGACCGGUGCGUUUUAUUAAGAUGAAUUGAUAACUUAAGAUUAAACUAAAAAACACAAUUAUACAAUUGAUCAAUCUGUACAAAACAUAAAACCGUCCGUAUCGACUACACCCUCCCCCUCCCCCUCCCCCUCACACAUCAUCCUCCCCCACACACAUCAUCCUCCAAAUGCAUUGAAAUGACAUCGUUUGACUUUUCCAAUGUUUUCCAAUGGAAUUACAAUCGGUUACAGUGACAGCAUUUCAUUAUAGUUCAACAACAAUCAUGAACCGAAAAAACAACAGUUCAUUAAAAAAACUAAAAAACAAUGGAGGUAUAUGAGAAGGCCUGAAAUCAAUUUUCAAACGAGGACAAAAAACCAAUCACUUCUCUACACUUCCAUAGACUGCUAGUCCGAAAUGGUAUCCUAUAUAGUGCACUACUUUUCACCAGAUCCCUAUGGGCCCUGGUCAACAGUAGGGCACUAGAUAGGGAAUAUGGUGCCCUAGUUGUGUGUUGACAGGCUGACAGUACCGUCUGUUAGAUAACGCCAUUGGUACUGUCAGACGGACUCACACACUCAACAGCUACCUACCUUUGCUUCUAUACACACGCACGCACACACACACGGGGCCUCAAGCGCUAUAUUUCCAUGGUUACAAUACCACCAUCACACACAGAUACAGCUACGGUAGGAGUUCAACAGAACACACUGAAUUAGCCUGGAAUCACAACUGAUUUGGCUACAUUUCACUGUUGUUUCAAAUGGUGAGCGCAGCACUCGAGUCUGGUUUAACCAGGCUAACGCUGAAAUAUUAGGAACGUGACUUAGCAGGAACCUCUCCGUCCUACAUCAGUGAUGAAGCAGUGGAACUAUAGAUGGGUUGGUUACCUGGCAACGUUACAACGAUGAUGUAAACUGAUUUAUGGUUUUUCAAUAAACAUUUAGAGACUAAAUAUAGUUUACACGUUGUCCUAUAAUCCUACGAUUGUAAGCCAACCCCGUCAGUUUCCUGCCUCUCGGAUGCGCGCGCCAGGGUCGGCGUCAAAUUCCAUUUCAAUUCGUAAAAAGUAAACAAUUCACAAAAAAAUGUUUUCAUUGAAAAGAGAAAUUCGAACUUCCAGAAUUGACUGGAAUUGAAAUGGAAUUCACCCCAACCCUGGCAUUGGUUUUGUACGUAAACAUCCCACCCGUAUACAGGAUAUGUAGUGACCAUUAGUGCCACCAGGAAUGUCAUUUUAGUUCUAUUUCUGGUGGUAGUAAUAUUAGCCUGGAUCCCAGUCUGUUUGUGCUCUCUUCCCAACUCCAUAUGGAACUGUCAUGUAAAACAUGGUUUGGCUUGACAAUGGACUAGGCGAAAACAGACCUGAGACCAGGCUAUAGUAAUAUCACUACAUUAGAGGCAGAUCUGAGACCAGGCUAUAGUAAUAUCACUACAUUAGAGGCAGAUCUGAGACCAGGCUAUAGUAAUAUCACUACAUUAGAGGCAGAUCUGAGACCAGGCUAUAGUAAUAUCACUACAUUAGAGGCAGAUCUGAGACCAGGCUAUAGUAAUAUCACUACAUUAGAGGCAGAUCUGAGACCAGGCUAUAGUAAUAUCACUACAUUAGAGGCAGAUCUGGGACCAGGCUAUAGUAAUAUCACUACAUUAGAGGCAGAUCUGGGACCAGGCUAUAGUAAUAUCACUACAUUAGAGGCAGAUCUGAGACCAGGCUAUAGUAAUAUCACUACAUUAGAGGCAGAUCUGAGACCAGGCUAUAGUAAUAUCACUACAUUAGAGGCAGAUCUGGGAGCCUCAACGUUUACACACAUCACUGUUCCACUGCCUAAAGCAAGUGGCUUAUAGAGAAGAGAGGAUAUACAUGAAGGGGUUAAUAUGGAACAAGCAGACCUCAGCAGAACAGAUAUCUACUACUACUAAUAAUAAUGACCUAGCUACGACCUAGUAAGGCAUAAUAAUCAUUUUGGUUGGGACUAUAUUAAUGAAGUAGAAAGCCAUGCACUGUGUUGAAGUAAGAGGCAGCUUGGUGUAAACAGGCUUUAAUGUGACGGACUGUGAUAACACUGGACAACGUGAUAAGAGCCAGAUAAGAUCUGGGCAAAAAGUACAUAACUGUGUCUAAAAAUACUUUUAAAUACUUCAUAUUUGAGAAAAGACUGGGAAAUAAUUUUAAAAGUAUUUCCAAGUAUUUUGAGGUGCGCGUGAUUUAGUUUGGUGGGUUUGCACUUUUGGGACUAUUCUGUUGGUCCCAUUGAAUAAGGCAAACAGAAUCAGCUCAAGUAUUUAGAAGUAUUUGAUCCAGGUCUGUCUGGUGAUAGCUGGAGCUAUAUAGAGGAUGGUUGGCCAGUAGGGUACGUUCUAUGGUAGAUGGGAGUAGAGGUGGAUAGUAGGAACAUUCUAUGGUAGAUGGGAGUAGAGGUGGUUAGUAGGAACGUUCUAUGGUAGAUGAGAGUAGAGGUGGCCAGUAGGAACGUUCUAUGGUAGAUGGGAGUAGAGGUGGUUAGUAGGAACGUUCUAUGGUAGAUGAGAGUAGAGGUGGUUAGUUGGCCAGUAGGAACGUUCUAUGGUAGAUGGGAGUAGAGGUGGUUAGUUGGCCAGUAGGAACGUUCUAUGGUAGAUGGGAGUAGAGGUGGUUAGUAGGAACGUUCUAUGUUAGAUGGGUGUAGAGUUAUUGGAUUUUAAUGAGUGGUAGAGGGAGGCACUGAGAGUGAACAGCAGCUAACCUAAAUAAUGUGACCCAGUAUAUGGAUGUGUCUUCCUAUUCCCUAUCUAGUGCACAACUUUAGAUCAGAGCCCUAUUCCCUAUAUAGUGGUACUACUAUAGACCAGAGCCCUAUUCCCUAUAUAGUGGUACUACUAUAGACCAGAGCCCUAUUCCCUAUAUAGUGGUACUACUAUAGACCAGAGCCCUAUUCCCUAUAUAGUGGUACUACUAUAGACCAGAGCCCUAUUCCCUAUGUAGUGCACUACUUUUCACAAAAGCCCUAUGGGCCUGGUCAACGGUAGUGAACUAAUAGGGAAUAGGGUGACAUUUGGGACAAAGAUUUAAUCUAUGUAUUUAAAAAAAUGAUGUUUUACUAACAGAUGCUUCUUGACAUGAAUGAAAACUGAUAGACAUUCUGAUUAUGAAGACGUGUCAUAACGAGACCAGCAGUACAAGACUAGAUGACCACCAUGAUUCCUAGACCAGCAGUACAAGACUAGAUGACCAUCAUGAUUCCUAGACCAGCAGUACAAGACUAGAUGACCAUCAUGAUUCCUAGACCAGCAGUACAAGACUAGAUGACCAUCAUGAUUCCUAGACCAGCAGUACAAGACUAGAUGACCAUCAUGAUUCCUAGACCAGCAGUACAAGACUAGAUGACCACCAUGAUUCCUAGACCAGCAGUACAAGACUAGAUGACCACCAUGAUUCCUAGACCAGCAGUACAAGACUAGAUGACCACCAUGAUUCCUAGACCAGCAGUACAAGACUAGAUGACCAUCAUGAUUC